AUUGAACGCUGGCGGCAUGCCUUACACAUGCAAGUCGAACGGCAGCACGGGAGCUUGCUCCUGGUGGCGAGUGGCGAACGGGUGAGUAAUACAUCGGAACGUACCCAGUAGUGGGGGAUAACGCACCGAAAGGUGCGCUAAUACCGCAUACGACCUAAGGGUGAAAGCGGGGGACCGCAAGGCCUCGCGCUAUUGGAGCGGCCGAUGUCUGAUUAGCUAGUUGGCGGGGUAAAGGCCCACCAAGGCGACGAUCAGUAGCUGGUCUGAGAGGACGAUCAGCCACACUGGGACUGGAACACGGCCCAGACUCCUGCGGGAGGCAGCAGUGGGGAAUUUUGGACAAUGGGGGCAACCCUGAUCCAGCAAUGCCGCGUGUGCGAAGAAGGCCUUCGGGUUGUAAAGCACUUUUGUCAGGGAAGAAAUCUUUCGGGCUAAUACCCUUGGAAGGAUGACGGUACCUGAAGAAUAAGCACCGGCUAACUACGUGCCAGCCGCCGCAGUAA
rnacentral:rRNA from 1 species